GUGCUGUAUGAAAGGAGAGAAGGUUAGUAUUCUCCUUGACAAGGAAAAGAGACCCUUGGGCCUAAAAACACCCUACAGUUAAAUCAUUGCCACCUACUUCAUAGCAUCUAAGCAAGGGUUUUAU
ensembl:snRNA